CAAAUGUUGGUAGAUUUUAACGGUAAGAAGAUAUCAACCAAGUUAAAAAGCAAAUUGAACGAAUCGCAUGAUCUCCAGUAGGAUCGAGAUGCGUCGACAUUGAAAGCGAUCUGUUUUAAAUGCAUCACUCAGCAAUAGUUAAAAUUUCAUAAUCAGGAAUAGAAAACAGUAAUCUUUUGAAUACCAAAGAAUAUGUAAAGAUAGGGC
rnacentral:lncRNA from 1 species